GUUGAACGCUGGCGGCAGGCCUAACACAUGCAAGUCGAACGGUAACAGGAAGAAUCUUGCUUCUUUGCUGACGAGUGGCGGACGGGUGAGUAAUGUCUGGGAAACUGCCUGAUGGAGGGGGAUAACUACUGGAAACGGUAGCUAAUACCGCAUAACGUCGCAAGCCCAAAGAGGGGGACCUUCGGGCCUCUUGCCAUCGGAUGUGCCCAGAUGGGAUUAGCUAGUAGGUGGGGUAACGGCUCACCUCGGCGACGAUCCCUAGCUGGUCUGAGAGGAUGACCAGCCACACUGGAACUGAGACACGGUCCAGACUCCUACGGGAGGCAGCAGUGGGGAAUAUUGCACAAUGGGCGCAAGCCUGAUGCAGCCAUGCCGCGUGUAUGAAGAAGGCCUUCGGGUUGUAAAGUACGUUCAGCGGGGAGGAAGGGAGUAAAGUUAAUACCUUUGCUCAUUGACGUUACCCGCAGAAGAAGCACCGGCUAACUCCGUG
rnacentral:rRNA from 1 species